rnacentral:rRNA from 1 species
AUUGAACGCUGGCGGCAUGCCUUACACAUGCAAGUCGAACGGCAGCACGGGUGCUUGCACCUGGUGGCGAGUGGCGAACGGGUGAGUAAUACAUCGGAACAUGUCCUGUAGUGGGGGAUAGCCCGGCGAAAGCCGGAUUAAUACCGCAUACGAUCUACGGAUGAAAGCGGGGGACCUUCGGGCCUCGCGCUAUAGGGUUGGCCGAUGGCUGAUUAGCUAGUUGGUGGGGUAAAGGCCUACCAAGGCGACGAUCAGUAGCUGGUCUGAGAGGACGACCAGCCACACUGGGACUGAGACACGGCCCAGACUCCUACGGGAGGCAGCAGUGGGGAAUUUUGGACAAUGGGCGAAAGCCUGAUCCAGCAAUGCCGCGUGUGCGAAGAAGGCCUUCGGGUUGUAAAGCACUUUUGUCCGGAAAGAAAUCCUUGGCUCUAAUACAGUCGGGGGAUGACGGUACCGGAAGAAUAAGCACCGGCUAACUACAUG